rnacentral:misc_RNA from 1 species
GCCACGUCAAGAUUAUCACCCAUGCUAUAGUCCAGCAAUCCAGUAUGGUCACACUGGUGAUUGAUGAGUACUGAUAUGCUUUAUUUACAAGAAAAUUUCCUUGGACAUCAGCUAAGCCUAGAAGUGCAUACCAAUACCAAGGAACCUGUAAUUUCUGCCUUCUGUAAAUCAUGAUUCCUCCAUACACCAAAGCUAAAGCUGUGUAAGUGAAGAAUGACAGAGAAAGUGGAGUAUUUACACCAAGGUUUGCCACAAGAGAAGAAGCAAAGCUAAUGAGAGCUCUAACAAAAGACACUACUUGACCUAAAAACAAAGGGUAAAAAGUUG